UCUCUCUCUCUCUCUCUCUCUCUCUCUCUCUCUCUCUCAUCUGACUUCACGGCUGCCCUCAAAUCCUUACUUUCCUCCUCCUAUCUGUAAUCAAUCAACCCAUCUCUCUCUUCUUGUUUUGUUGUUGGUCUGGUGAGAUUCGAGGUCCAUGGUUAACUUUGAAGAUGUUAAUGGGGGAAAAGAACGGACCGACCGUUCUUCCACUUGUUCGAUUAAGAAGACGGUGUAGUAGAUGAUGAAUUAGAUGAAUACUUUCAUCAACCCGAAAAGAAGAGGUGAUUCCGUUUGUGGUCUCUGUUCGUCUCUCUGAGAGGGGUUAGGUUCAAAAACGAAAGAGAGGCUGAAAAGCAAAAGAAGACGAGAGAAGAAGGAAGAAAAAAAAAA